GCAUCUUUGAGGGUGCUCAGUGCUAAGAAGAAGAAACAUGUUCCGGUUAUUCCAAUCAACUACAAACCAAAGAUGCAUCACAUGUCUGUCUCCAGGAGAAGCAACUCUGAGACUUAUCAGAAGCCCUAAAAAGGGAUAAAUAAAACGUGCUGUCUAGAACCAAGCAAGCAGCUUUCACUUCCCCUUCCUUGAACUGGUACUAGCAGAGUCUCCUGCAAAACAGUCAUGGCUUUCAGUGGAAACAUAGGCCCCUGAGAGCUGGAAGAUCCUUCAAAGCCUUCAGGGUACCUUCUAUUUGCUUGAAUGACUUCAACUGCCGCACAUGUUUAAGCUGAGUCUUGCUUUCUACAUCAAGCAAAAGGCUAGGUGCACAGCUAUGGUAGACUGUCUGCAAAAUGGCAGCCAGCAAUCUGCCCAUCCCAGUACAUGCAUGACACUCAUUCCAUCAACAGGUGGAGUCUAUUUCCCCAAUCUUCAUUCCAGGCUGGCCCUGUAACUUGUUUCAACCAAUAGCAUAUGGGCUAAAGCAAUGUGGAUUUUUGGUUUGCUGGUUUGUUUGUUUUGUUUAGAGACAGGGUGUUGCUCCAUCACCCAGGCUAGAGUGCAGUGGUGUAAUCAUAGCUCACUGCAGCCUUGAACUUUUGGGCUCAAGGGAUUCUUCUGCCUCAGCUUCCCAAGUAGCAAGGACUACAGGUGUGUGCUACCACACCAAGCUAAUCUUUUCUGUGUAGACACAGGGUCUUGCUGUUGCCCAAGCUUGUCUCAAACUCCUGGCCUCAAGUAAACCUCCUGCCUCAGCCUCCCAAAGUGCUGGAAUUACAGGUAUGAGUCACUGCACCAAGCUGGCAGAAGUAAUAUUACACAAAUUCUGUAAUCUAAGCCUUAGAGACCUAACAGUUUCCAUUUUCACACUUUUAGGAUCCAGCAGCUGUGUUAAAAAAAAAAAAAACAAUGAGGAACCAUCUGGAGACAGUAAGCCCUAGCCAGCUGCCAGCCAUUCUAGACACCUAACAAACUCUCUUUUGCUGGCUUUGAUGAAGCAAGGUGAUAAAUUAAAGAGGACUGCAUGACAAGAAACUGAGGGCAGCCUCUGGCCAACUGCCAACAAGAAACUGAGGCUCUCAGUAUAACAGCUCAAAAGACUCUGAAUCCUGCCAUCAGUCACGUUAAGUGAGCUUGGAAGCAGACUUUUCCAGUUGAGCUUUCAGAUGAGGACCCAGUCUUGGCUGGUCCUUUGAUUAUAGUCUCAUGAGAGACCAUGAAACAGAGGACCCAGUUAAACCAG
rnacentral:lncRNA from 10 species